rnacentral:rRNA from 1 species
GUGUCAGCAGCCGCGGUAAGACAGAGGUGGCAAGCGUUGUUCGGAUUUACUGGGCGUAAAGAGUGCGUAGGUGGUGAGGUAAGACCUGUGGGAAAGACCUGGGCUUAACCCAGGAAGGUCGCAGGUGACUGCCUCGCUUGAGGACGGGAGAGGAGAGCGGAAUUCCCGGUGUAGCGGUGAAAUGCGUAGAGAUCGGGAAGAAGGCCGGUGGCGAAGGCGGCUCUCUGGAACGUUCCUGACACUGAGGCACGAAAGCGUGGGGAGCAAACAGGAUUAGAUACCCCCGUAGUCC